AAAAAAAAAAAAAAAAAAAACGUUGUAGUGCAACCUUUCACCUCUCUCUAUCAUUUUUUUUUUUUUCUCAUCGUUGAUUGGCAUCUCCAGCUGAAAACAAAAGAAGAGUGUUUUAUAGACAACAGGGCUGUGGCAUGUGAGCUGCUGUCAUUUUCAGUCAUUCUUAAUAG
rnacentral:ribozyme from 1 species